CAUUGACCCAUGAUAUAUCUUUAAAAUGAUUUUGACGAUGUUUUGAAUUUAGUUUUCUCAUAUUUUGCCAAACAGUGGAAAUUGGUGUUAAUCUAUUAAAUUUGGAACAAAAUUCCUGCCACCCCUGUUGUCUUACUUGCUUAAUUACUAACUUUUUAACAGCUUGAACUCUUUUAAAAUUUAUGUAAUUAUCGAGAGUUGGAUUUUGUUUAAACCUAAGGUAAGCCGCUUUACUAUCAUUGACAGCUGUCGCACACCUGUUAUUCCACCAAGGUACUGCAAUAUGUUUGUGCCUCUUUGAAGUAUUUGCACCGCUAUUUGAUAAGUUCCUACGUGAAACGGAACGUUCCACAGCUGUCAAAAUAAUUUUACAGAACCUAUUGUAAUUGUUUAAGGGUUCAUUGACAUCAUACUCGAAAUCCAAAAGUAAUUGAUUAACAGUUUCAGAAUAAAGAUCCCAAUUAACGAGACAUGCUGCAACACUCAGAAUUCUUACAGAAUUUAGCUAAAUGUCCAUACCUCAAGCACCGGUAGCAUUGUUUAACUGGUGGUAUAUAUGGAGUGACAUUGUGGCGCCAACCUCCAAUAUCCAGAUAUUCAGGUAAUACAGAUGCAGCAAAAGUAAUUGUCACGGUUAGAGUUGGCUGUAACACAUAUCCAUGAGUCAAGAUUCUGAGUCAGUAGAAGUAUCUUCCGAAUAUAUAUCCUUGUCAUUACAAGGUUCAUGGUCUACAUCACCUGAAUCGUCAUCUUUUUUUUUCCUUUUUCUACAACUGCGCUUCCCCAUGAAUGCUAAUUAUAUUACUGUCGCUGAAUUUAGUGAAAAUAUAAUAUUUUAUUCAAUAAUAAGAAUUGAUAGAGAUAGUUUUAAUAAAUUAAUAAAAAAAAUUUAAAAAACCCGCUUGUUCUUAUUCGAGUUUCCCGCCUUUUUUCAGAAGAUUAUAAAUAGCAAAAUGACAGGAAAUGGAAAAAAAAUAAAACUUAGUUGCCAGCUCUUGAAUAUAUUUACCUCUAAAUUCAUGUCGCAAUUUUUUUAUAAAAUUUAUUAUAAAAAAAAUAUUAAAUAUUAUGUAUAAUAUCAGUAAAACAGUCAACCCACCUGCCAAAUGUAGCAACUUUUGGCAACAGUAGUAGAUGGUUAACGGCUGAUAUAACUAAUAUAAUA